CGGGGCAGGGCCCGUCCUGGGCCGUGGGGACGGGCAGGGGCCGGAGGAGCAGCACUGGGAGCACUGGGAGCCACUGGGAGCAGCAGCAGCCGCGCGGGGGCCCCGGCUCCGCUUCCGGGCAAUGGGUGAAGCCAGGACACGGGGUAUCACCUGGACAGGGUCUGUUGGCUCCUAAGUCACCAGCCUGAGCGCAUCGCGUUCCCUAUGCCCCCCAAGUCUCAGGCUGAUCGUUCCCAGCAGGGCCAUACCCCGUGCUCUGGGGUCCUCCUUUCUCUAAAAAGAUGAAGCUUCUGGCUCUGCAGUCACGUUUCUGCCACGUUUUCUGAAACCUAGCUGAAGCAUGAAUUUAGAAACGGGAGGGAUGUCGCAGAGAGCUGGGGAGGAGGUUGCCCCAUAAGCACUUUUCUGCCAGACCUCGUGUGCGAUGCUCCCCGCCAACGCGUUUCCAAGUGUGAUGCUGAUUGAAAGUGAUUUGGAAGCAGAAUAAUUGGUAAAGUUCUUUAGAAUUUUGAUGACUUAAUUCUGAGGCUGAAAAUUAGUUUGUAGGUCCCGUGAAAAGACGGGGAGCCUGCUCAGUGGGUUACAACCACUUGUUUAUACCCCGCACCCGAGCACGGAGGAUUUCAGACAGCGACGGUCUCACGGUCAGCACAUCACCCGAAAUUUGGCCAACUUCUUUUUGUUUUACAUAAAAAAUGCCGGAGUGGCGAGGCCCCCACGGCCUUAGCUGCUCCAGGUCAGGUAACCCUCACCCUAGGAAACCAACCCAAGCACCGAGUCCUUCAAACACAACGCGCAGAAACACCACCACAGGCCGAAGAGCACCUCGCCUUACGCUUUUCUUUCAUCCCCUUACUUAAAACAUCAAAGCCGGUGAUUAUUUAGGAAAUAUUUGAGGAGUGGAUUGAGAGGAGCUGCUGAUCUUUUUUCAUUUCGGUAAAGACCUCCUUCUCCUGGGGGGCCCCGUUGCUGGGGGACGGCACCGCUGCAGCAUCCCGAGGGACUCGUAACGAAGUCACCUGCAAGGUGCAGCAGGGUUGUAAUUACUUAACGAAGACGCGAGCUGCUGCUCUUUCAGUGAGAAAUGAGUGCAGCAACUUGCUGGCUCUGUCAGCGAGAGAACCACAGAGCUGUGCGUUCCUAGAAGUGCCGGCGUACGGUGAAGCAACUCUGCAAGAGAAGUGCAUGCAGGUGGAGGGACUGCAACACGCUUGUGUAAGCGGCUGAAGGGAGACUAAUCCUAAGGUGCUUUGGGGAGGCGAGUUCUGUGAAACCUUAAAUUAAGGAAAAAAUAAUUAAUCUACCUGUGUCUGUUUGAUUUUAAAAAGUUUGGAGUUCAAAAGUUCUGUAAAUGCGUAUCGUGGGUUCAGAAAGAAAUAAAGCUGAUGCUGCUUGGGGCCAAACAACCCAAAGCAGACACCUGAAAGGGCUGUUAAGGUGCCUUGCCUCUGGGUUAAACAGAUCACCUCAACGUCUUUGCCAGGUGGAGUAAGAGAGUGUUGGUGAAACACGAUUAGAGCAGCCCCCUCCGACCUAAAAUAGCACCUAAAACCUUCACAGCUCACUGUCAGCGCUCCUCUAAGCCCAACGCGCUCCUUUUGGGGGCUCUGAGCGAAAUACCUGGGCGCCACGCACCGCCGAGGGACGCUUUCAUUGAAAUAGGCGACAUCAGCCUAUUAACAUGAUUGGAUUUUAAUCUAGACGAAGUGCUGCGUUCAAAUUAAAAUCCAAUAGUUCGGGAGCCGUUUCAGCAAACCACCAGCCCCGCUUUGGCCGAGCUGCUCCGUGUGGGAUGCUGCAGGGGCCGGGGCAGCGCCGCGGCGGCGUUACCUCACCGCACCUCGCCUGGGCCUUGAUUACACGCAGGCAAUUAAGUGUCAGGCAGUAGAGGUGGGAGAAGGAGAGCGCUGGGAAGUCGGUCGGCGUGCCCUGGGUGUGUCAUUACGGUGACGGUGACGCUGCCGGGGGAGGCAGCAGCUGCGCCGUGGCCGUGCCUCUCCCCAGGGCCUGCAGCCCGCGGUGGGAGCGGUGCCCGCGGGCCCGGCUAGGGGCACCUCGGUUGGUUCCAUCCUUUCUAACAGUUAUUGCCCAAAUUUCAGCGUGGAGAGAACCCAGCAGGUCCCCCCUGCAUCUCGCUUGCGCUUGGUUUUCACUUAGGAACUGUGGCAUGAGCCCAGGGACCGGCACCGCUAUCGAUUUUGGUAGCCAAAAUUGACAUUACGUAGCCCAGACCCUGCUUUAACUCCAAACACCUCAGCAAGAGAGCAAAACUUGGCUGGAGCCAUGAAGUCCAACGUGAAGUUGGUCUUGCAAAGGUUAUUUCCCUCACUCCAGAUGCAAAGUCCAUAGGUGUUAUCAGGGAUAAAACAUUUCAUCCUUCCUACUUCAUCCUUCCCGUACGCUCUGCUGCCACGCCUCAUUAAAAUACCACCCAGCGUAACAUACACCAGGAAGUUAAUUUUGUUGCAACAAGAGCAGAAUUUGGUACUGGGAUGUGACCAGAAAAAAAAGCAAGAUGUAAAAUUUGUGCCACAUUCACAAAUAUCCCAGGAGGAAGGCUGAGAUUAGGCCUUUUCUCAGAAAAUUCAAGAUACCGCGCAUCGGAAUUAGAGGUCAAAGAAGAAAAGGAAGUAAAACCCGCGCCAGAUUUGGAAGACUUGGUCAUCUUCCUGCAACCAGCAGCAGAUGCAAGAGGCACGGGAACAUGCUAAUGUUGGCACACGGAACAGGCUGAGCAGGUCCCGAAGCUCGGCAGCCGAUAUGUGCGUUACUUAGGGCAGGGAACAUCACCGGAUGGUCCAGAGGAUCACGAAGGCAGGAGCACAGAGAGCUCCGAAUAUUUCAUAUCAGCAGCUCCAUCUGUCAGGCUCACCUGGUUUCCAUCGUACACCAGGGGCUGUAUAGGGGGGGUGUUGCCCUGGUGUCCGAUCCUAGGAUGGCAGACUGCAAUCUUUCUUUUUUUUAAAAAAAGCCAGCCCCAGGACCUUGUAGAUAAUGUAUUUUUUGCAGGCUAGGAGUUUGAAAUUAAGAGAUGAUAUAUUUAAUUAUUUAAAGGGAAGAAAGAAUAGACCUGUAAUCGUGCUACGACGGUGCUAGAAAUUACAGGAAUACAAUUUUAAGAUGGCUUAUGCUAAGAAUGAAAGGAAUUCCAUAGAUUUGGGACCAAGAGACCUUCCUUUACUUGUUUUCUGCUGAAACUGUGUUCCUGCAAGCGCAAGUUGCAGCCACCACCAGCUGCUCAAGCCAGAAUUUCUGGAAAGUAGUUCAGGAAUAUGAUAGGAAGUAAAGGGGUGUUUUUUGACAAGAAGAAUCUGCCCUUCGGUCCCUAUAUGAGCCGCACCGUGGGGUCUGUCUGCCCAUCUCCCACCCGCGGGUUUUCUUAAAAGUUUUCCUAAAGGUUUUCUGCAGCAAAGCAGGACGCGAGAUUGGAAAGGGCCAAAAUUGCACCAUCUAAGCGCUGAGGUGAAUAACCCCAAAGAGAAAUGAAAAUUAAGCUUUGUGAACUGAAAAAAAAAAAAAAAAAAAAAAGAUCAGUAAGUUAUUCAGGAAAUGGGGAAAGCAGCAGACAUAUGCAAAUACUGCCGGGCCAGAGAUGGUGCUUUCAGCGUGAUAUGAUCUGACCCUGUCCCUAAUAAGCACUUUUAUGGCUGGAAGGGGAUAUAUUAGGAGCUCUGCUCCAAUUCAGCAAGCGCUUCAUGGACUAUCGAUUUUGCUCAGAAGUGGGAGAGCACAAAGUUCAGCCGGCAUUGCUUUUUUUUGAAAGAUCUGCCAAAAGACCAUCUUCCAGCUCCCCAAACUGGUCCUCCGCAGCCCGGCGCAGAUCUCUUCGGUUAGGCUCGUGACCUGCAGCUUCGGACACAAACGUUUUCGCUGGCAAACAGUGAGUCAGAGCCACGGAGCCAUUCCGGCGAGGGAUGGCUGUAAACAAGCACCUCUCGCUUGUUUACUGAUCGCCGUCACGUGGCUCAUCAGAACUUGACCCUGAUUAGGAGAAGAAUUAACUAGUUGGAGAGAACUCUGCCGAGGUCCUGUAUGGCUCAGAUCCCGGCUGCCCCGGUCCCACGGGAAGCAGGACCCCACAGCCUGCUGUGCACCAGCGGGACUGCUGCUCGCCGGCUUUCCCUGCUAAAUGAAACUCAGGGGCUGUGCCACAGUCCACAUCUGCAAUCAGGUGAUUUUAUCGUCAUCUGCUGAUUUCCUCUCCUCUUGCACACGUUGCUUUUACCUCCUCUGACUCUCCGGGGCAGUCUCUGAGUGCAACGGGACGGCUGGGCUACUUACAAAGUAAUUUUAAGUAUGAAUUGCCUCCUUUCGGAGCAUGAUAAUGAACACUUCAAGUUGUGUACAA